UAUAUUUAAACAUAAAAAAAAUAAAGGACAUUGAAAUAUGUUAAUUUUGAUAUGAAAAACAUUUAUCACAUGAAGCAUUUAUAUGCUCUGAUCAUAAUUCUUUUUUUCCAUAUUUGGCAAAAAUGUAUAGUUUUCUUAUCUUUAUUCUAGGACACAUACUACACCUUCCACUUGACAUCAACUCCCCACUUCAACAAAUCAUGCCAUCAAUAAAUAUUCAACAGCCGCUCACAUACCUAACCAUUUUGAGCCUACCACCUAUCCUCCUUAAAUGGAUUAAGACCAGAUGGAAUGACUAAAAUUCCUGGGCCCUUGACCAUCUAAAAUGUUUGAAAGACACAACGAGAUAUGGAUAGAAGCAUAUAGCAAUGACGUUUCAAGAAUAUGCCGAAUAAUGGAAUAGUUUUUACUUAAGUGUUAAAAAAUGUGCACUUAAUAUUUUAUAAUAGAUAGAAGAUAUUACCAAAUUAUAUAAUAUUUCUAUUUUAUAUGUUAAAAAUAUUAUGUUUAUAUUUAAAUGGAUGACAUGUUUAAAUUUUAUUUACUUUUAUAUUCAUAUCGUUUGGUUAGAUAACAAAAAAUUAAUA